rnacentral:rRNA from 1 species
CCCUUAGAUGUUCUGGGCCGCACGCGCGCUACACUGACGAAUGCAACGAGCUUAUAACCUUGGCCGAAAGGUAUGGGUAAUCUCCAAAUUUCGUCGUGAUGGGGAUAGAUUAUUGCAAUUAUUAAUCUUCAACGAGGAAUGCCUAGUAAGCGCAAGUCAUCAGCUUGCGUUGAUUACGUCCCUGCCCUUUGUACACACCGCCCGUCGCUCCUACCGAUUGAAUGGUCCGGUGAAGCGUUCGGACCGUGGCCUUUGGACGGUUCGCCGUCUGUUGGCUGCGGGAAGUUCGUUAAACCUUAUCAUUUAGAGGAAGGAGAAGUCGUAACA